rnacentral:rRNA from 1 species
GUAGGGAAUAUUGGGCAAUGGAUGCAAGUCUGACCCAGCCAUCCCGCGUGCCGGAAGAAGGCCCUCAGGGUUGUAAACGGCUUUUGACGGUGAAGAAUCGACAGGAUGCGUCCUGUUUUGACGGUAGCCGUUGAAUAAGCACCGGCUAACUCCGUGCCAGCAGCCGCGGUAAUACGGAGGGUGCGAGCGUUGUCCGGAUUUAUUGGGUUUAAAGGGUGCGUAGGCUGGAAGGUCAGUCAGCGGUGAAAAGCUGUCGCUUAACGAUAGUCUUGCCGCAGAUACUUCCUUUCUUGGAUGAGGAGGAGGCCACUGGAACGGAUGGUGUAGCGGUGAAAUGCAUAGAUAUCAUCCAGAACACCGAUUGCGAAGGCAGGUGGCUGUACCUUAAUCGACGCUGAUGCACGAAAGCAUGGGGAGCAAACAGGAUUAGAAACCCCGGUAGUC